AGAGUUUGAUCAUGGCUCAGGAUUAACGCUGGCGGUACGUCUAAUACAUGCAAGUCGAACGGAGCAGAAAUGCUCAGUGGCGAACGGGUGAGUAACACGUAGGUAACCUGCCCUUAAGACGAGGAUAACUCUGGGAAACUAGAGCUAAUACUGGAUUGGAAGCAAACUUGGCAUCAAGAAAGCUUAAAAGGGUGCUUUACGGCACUGCUUAAGGAGGGGCCUGCGGCGCAUUAGUUAGUUGGUGAGGUAAGAGCUCACCAAGACGAUGAUGCGUAGCUGGACUGAGAGGUUGAACAGCCACACUGGGACUGAGAACGGCCCAGACUCCUACGGGAGGCAGCAGUAGAGAAUCUUCGGCAAUGGGGGGAACCCUGACCGAGCGAUACCGCGUGAUUGAAGAAAUACUUCGGUAUGUAAAGAUCUUUUACAAAGGAUGAAUGGCGUUAGGAGGAAAUGCCUAAUGAGUGACAGUACUUUAGGAAUAAGCCCCGGCUAACUAUGUGCCAGCAGCCGCGGUAAUACAUAGGGGGCAAGCGUUAUCCGGAAUUAUUGGGCGUAAAGGGUGCGUAGGCGGCUACUUAAGUUUAUGGUCUAAAUUCAAGGCUCAACCUUGAAAUGCUUUAAAAACUGGGUGGCUUGAGAGAGGUAGAGGCAAGUGGAAUUCCAUGUGUAGCGGUAAAAUGCGUAAAUAUAUGGAGGAACACCAGUGGCGAAGGCGGCUUGCUGGGCCUUAUCUGACGCUGACGCACGAAAGCGUGGGGAGCAAACAGGAUUAGAUACCCUGGUAGUCCACGCCGUAAACGAUGAGUACUAAGUGUCGGAACAAUUCGGUGCUGCAGUUAACGCAUUAAGUACUCCGCCUGAGUAGUACGUGCGCAAGCAUAAAACUCAAAGGAAUUGACGG
rnacentral:rRNA from 1 species